GACGAGGUGGCCGAGUGGUUAAGGCGAUGGACUGCUAAUCCAUUGUGCUCUGCACGCGUGGGUUCAAAUCCCCCCUCGUCG
rnacentral:tRNA from 1 species